rnacentral:rRNA from 1 species
CAUGCAAGUCGAACGGAAAGUGCCCAGCUUGCUGGGUGACUCGAGUGGCGAACGGGUGAGUAACACGUGGGUGAUCUGCCCUGCACUUUGGGAUAAGCCUGGGAAACUGGGUCUAAUACCGAAUACACCCUGCUGGUCGCAUGGCCUGGUGGGGGAAAGCUUUUGCGGUGUGGGAUGGGCCCGCGGCCUAUCAGCUUGUUGGUGGGGUGAUGGCCUACCAAGGCGACGACGGGUAGCCGGCCUGAGAGGGUGUCCGGCCACACUGGGACUGAGAUACGGCCCAGACUCCUACGGGAGGCAGCAGUGGGGAAUAUUGCACAAUGGGCGCAAGCCUGAUGCAGCGACGCCGCGUGAGGGAUGACGGCCUUCGGGUUGUAAACCUCUUUCAACAGGGACGAAGCGUGAGUGACGGUACCUGUAGAAGAAGCACCGGCCAACUACGUGCCGGCAGCCGCGGUAAUACGUAGGGUGCGAGCGUUGUCCGGAAUUACUGGGCGUAAAGAGCUCGUAGGUGGUUUGUCGCGUUGUUCGUGAAAACUCACA